CUUGAAUAAAUAUAAGAGGUCCAGCCUGCCCAGUGACAAUGUUCAACGGCCGCGGUAUCCUAACCGUGCGAAGGUAGCGUAAUCACUUGUUCUUUAAAUAAGGACUAGUAUGAACGGCACCACGAAGGUUACACUGUCUCCUCUUUCUAAUCAGUGAAACUAAUCUCCCCGUGAAGAAGCGGGGAUAAAAAUAUAAGACGAGAAGACCCUAUGGAGCUUUAAACUACAAGGCACUUGCCCCCAUAUAAUCAAAUUCCAGAAAAUCAUUACCACCCAGGCAACAUGACCUUUAGUUUUAGGUUGGGGUGACCGCGGAGCAAAGAAAAACCUCCACAUUGAAAGGAGACCUCUCCUUAGCCAAGAGCCACACCUCUAAGCACCAACAAAAAGACAUUAAUUGACCCAAUAUUUUUGAUCAACGAAC
rnacentral:rRNA from 1 species